UAUUAAUUCUUUAGUAACCUAAUUUUUAUGGUCCCAAAUGAUGCAUAAAAAGCAGGUUAAAACCUUCCCAUGUUCUCCAUCAUGUGUGUUCCACUCUGUUUGAAUGGACCUGACCCAGAUCCCAUUAUCUCCAUUCUGAAUGAUUUAUUUCCGGAUUUGUUUAAUCAAAAAGGGAUUUGGGUCAACUCUUCAAAAGGAUCGAUGAGCAGCUAGACUAUAGAGCCAAAUCAUUAUAUGAGAAAUGAUUGAAGAAGUGUGGGUUAAAUACACAUCACAAUUACUUAACUUGUACGUGUAGUGCGAUCUUCAGAAAUGGAAAUAUAUUUAUAGAAAUCCGAUUUUUUUUUU